rnacentral:misc_RNA from 1 species
GAUGAAGAACGUAGCGAAAUGCGAUAAGUAAUGUGAAUUGCAGAAUUCAGUGAAUCAUCGAAUCUUUGAACGCACAUUGCGCCCGCCAGUAUUCUGGCGGGCAUGCCUGUUCGAGCGUCAUUUCAACCAUCAAGCCCCCGGGCUUGUGCUGGGGCCCUGCGGCUGCCCGCAGGCCCUGAAAACCAGUGGCGGGCUCGCUAGUCACACCGAGCGCAGUAGCACAUCUCGCUCAGGGCGUGCGGCGGGCUCCUGCCGUGAAACCCCCCACUGUAACCCCAAAGGUUGACCUCGGAUCAGGUAGGAAUACCCGCUGAACUUAAGCAUAUCAAUAAGCGGAGGA